rnacentral:rRNA from 1 species
UACGUAGGGGGCAAGCGUUAUCCGGAUUUACUGGGUGUAAAGGGAGCGCAGACGGCAGUGCAAGUCUGGAGUGAAAGCCCGGGGCCCAACCCCGGAACUGCUCUGGAAACUGUGCGGCUAGAGUACUGGAGGGGCAGGCGGAAUUCCUAGUGUAGCGGUGAAAUGCGUAGAUAUUAGGAGGAACACCAGUGGCGAAGGCGGCCUGCUGGACAGUAACUGACGUUGAGGCUCGAAAGCGUGGGUAGCAAACAGG